AUUGAACGCUGGCGGCAUGCCUUACACAUGCAAGUCGAACGGCAGCAUGGAGAGCUUGCUCUCUGAUGGCGAGUGGCGAACGGGUGAGUAAUGCAUCGGAACGUACCGUGUAAUGGGGGAUAACGUAGCGAAAGUUACGCUAAUACCGCAUACGACCUGAGGGUGAAAGCAGGGGAUCGCAAGACCUUGCGUUAUACGAGCGGCCGAUGUCAGAUUAGCUAGUUGGUGAGGUAAAGGCUCACCAAGGGGACGAUCUGUAGCGGGUCUGAGAGGAUGAUCCGCCACACUGGGACUGAGACACGGCCCAGACUCCUACGGGAGGCAGCAGUGGGGAAUUUUGGACAAUGGGGGCAACCCUGAUCCAGCCAUGCCGCGUGAGGGAAGAAGGACUUCGGGUUGUAAAGCUCUUUCGGCCGGGAAGAAAUCGCACAGGCUAAUACUCUGUGUGGAUGACGGUACCGGCAUAAGAAGCACCGGCUAACUACGUGCCAGCCGCCGCCGUAA
rnacentral:rRNA from 1 species